AUUGCUAGGCUGUGUGAUGUGUUUUGGUUACAGCUCAUUGUUUCAGCAUCAGUUGUUGAGAUAAGACGUGAUUUUCGCUGAGCGAAGAUUUUCUGAAAUAUCUGAUAACAUACAGUUGAUACAGUUACAGAAAUGAACAGUCAGAGCUAUAAGAGGAAAAGAGUGGAUGUACAGCAUCCCAUCCCGGAAGCUGCCUCGAGUAUUUACGAGAGGCUGGGCGUGGACAUCUUGACCACAUCCAACACUUCCGGGAAAUUUGAGGAGGUUGAGCCACCAAGAAAGCGUUAUAUUCAAGCUGCCAGUCAAGCAGUAUUUCAUAACAUAGGGUCCACUCCUACAGCUGGGAGA